rnacentral:rRNA from 1 species
UUGAGAGAGGGAGCCCAGAGAUGGACUCUGAGACAUGAGUCCAGGCCCUACGGGGCGCAGCAGUCGCGAAAACUUCGCAAUGGGGGAAACCCCGACGAGGGAAUUCCAAGUGCCAGCACUUUGUGUUGGCUGUUCUUCUGUCUAAAAAACAGGAGAAGUAAGGGGCGGGUAAGACGGGUGCCAGCCGCCGCGGUAAUACCCGCGCCCCAAGUGGUGGUCGAUAUUAUUGAGCCUAAAACGUCCGUAGCCGGUCUUCUAAAUCCUUGGGUAAAUCGGGCAGCUCAACUGUCCGAAUUCCGGGGAGACUGGGAGACUUGGGACCGGGAGAGGUCAGAGGUACUUCUGGGGUAGGGGUAAAAUCCUGUAAUCCUGGAAGGACCACCGGUGGCGAAGGCGUCUGACUAGAACGGAUCCGACGGUGAGGGACGAAGCCCUGGGGCGCAAACGGGAUUAGAUACCCCGGUAGUCCAGGGUGUAAACGCUGCGGGCUUGGUGUUGGGGGUCCUUAGUGGGCGCCCAGUGCCGGAG